CACACACACACACAAAAGACGUCCUGGGGCACUUUGGCACAUUUCCAGCAGGUUCCAGCCAGACUAAAGGUGAACACACACACACACACACACACACACACACACACAUUCUUAUCCCAUCUCCUUUUAAUUUACUAAACAGCGCGCACAGAUAAAGAAAAUGAGAAUAAGUAAACAUAAAAAGGUAGCAAUGAUAAUAAAUAGAUAAAAGAUAAACAUUAUUUCCUCCUUUGGGUGACCAGAGCACUCAGAUUCACCCUGUGACUUUCUUUACCCACUACAAUAAUAACACUAAGUCACUGAAAUCGUUAUGUAGCCUGCGACGGUGUGUGUGUGUGUGUGUGUGUGUGUGUGUGUGUGUGUGUGUGUGUGUGUGUGUGUGUGUGUGUGUGUGUGUGUGUGUGUGUGUAAGUUAAAGUAAAUAGGCUAGAUAAAGUUAUAUAGGGUAGGGUAAGGUAAGGUAAAGUAAGGUAAGGUUGGAUUAGGCUUGGCUUGGCUUGGCUUGGCUGGGCUGGGCUGGGCUGGACUGGGCUGAACUGGGUUGGGUUGGGUUGGGUUGGGUAAGGCAAGGUAUUCAUCUAGACUUGAGAAAUAAAUACAUGAUGAGUAAGCGUUGAAUGGAAGGUAAGGUAAGGUAAGGUAAGGUAAAGUUAUGUUAUGUCAAGAGCUCACCUGGGCCUAAUGAAUAAAAAGGGUGAAAGAGAAGGCUGAACACUGAGAAAGCCGUUCACCCUGUCACUUAACUAAACACAGGAGAGCCACAGCUACCGAAACAUUGAUCUGUGGUAGAGAAAACCUGGUGACUAUCAAUGUUUGGACACCCCCCCCCCUCUCUCUCUCUCUCUCUCUCCAAGUUGUUGAGAAGUUAAUUAAGAAACAAUGUACUUAGAUUAAUAACAUUCAAGCUUCUAAUGGUGAAGAAAGAGACAAAGAAAAGGUUACAAGAAUUAAGAAAGAGUGCUGGGACGUGUUACCGCACCACACCACCGGGAUCAUGUGGCGCCAAUUUGGGUCACGUGAUCAGCGGAGGUAAAGAGAAGGACGGUCAGGAAAAACACACCAAGUUGAAGGUAAACAAGGAAAAGAAAACGGUUUGUAUUAUCGUUCAGAUGAUGACGAUCACUCACUCACACACACACACACACACACACACACACACACACACACACACACACACACACAGUAAAAAUAACUCAACCUUUCCUCAACUAUAAACACGAACUGUCUCAAGGUAAAGAAGUUAGUAGGUAUGAAAGUAAAUAACCAAACAAACAAACCGAGUUGAAAACAGUGUAUACCAGUUGUGUGUGUGUGUGUGUGUGUGUGUGUGUGUGUGUGUGUGUGUGUGUGUGUGUGUGUGAUUAUGAUAACCUUCAGAUAAUCAGUGGGCAAAUGAACGAUAAUGCAUUCUAUUUUUCCUACUUUUUAUCGCAGCUGCAGGAGACACCUCAAAGAUGACCCUCACUGCCCACCACCACUCACCACACACACACACACACACAGAACAAGACCUUCCAUUCAACCACAAACUCAACCUCUACUGACCACUGCGUGAAGAAACAAUCCACGAAAUGAUCAACACUUUAACCCCUUAACCCCUUCAGUACCAUGACGCUUUUCCAUAUUAAUCCUUCUUACUAUCUGAUGAUUUUAUACAGCUUCAGAAACUCAUGUGGGGGAUUACGAUAAUGAAGAUUUUGGCCAUUAAUCUUCUGGCCUCCACAGACCCUUCCUAAUGUCAAUAAAAUGGUCUAAUCGUACUCAAAUCUCAAGAUAAAAAUGUGUCCCAGUACUGAAGGGUUUAAUGAGAAAAGAUCAUAUGCCACUGAAAUCCACAAUCAGGAGGGAGAGGAUUAAGAGGGGAUCUGAUCGAGAUAUCCAAGCGGUACAAGGAACAUAACAAGGCGUGGAUACUUUCUUAGAGUUAAUAAUCAGGAGAGGACGUGAGGUAACGUGUUUAAGCUUGAAAGAAGUGAAUAAUAAAUGAAUGGAGAAAAGGAAAUAAAAAAGGAGGGAAGGGAAGGGAAGGAAAGAGAAGGGAAGGGAAGGGAAGGGAAGGGAAGGCAAGGGAAGAGAGAAGAGAGGAAAGGCAGACUAUAGGACGAAAUUGGUUCUCAAACGGUGAAAGAUGGCUGGAAUAAACUUGACUGUCAGGUUUAGAGAGAGAGAGAGAGAGAGAGAGAGAGAGAGAGAGAGAGAGAGAGAGAGAGAGAGAGAGAGAGAGAGAGAGAGAGAGAGAGAGAGAGAGAGAGAGAGAGAGAGAGAGAGAGAGAGCAUCUGGUUACAAAAUAGGAACCACCAUCUGGUUUCUAAAAUGUGUACUGUGCAACCUGUUCUCCCACGAGUGUGUGUGUGUGUGUGUGUGUGUGUGUGUGUGUGUGUGUGUGUGUGUGUGUGUGUGUGUGUGUG